CCGGAGAGUGCUAAUACAUGCAAGUCGAACGCGUUGGCCCAAUUGAUUGAUGGUGCUUGCACCUGAUUGAUUUUGGUCGCCAACGAGUGGCGGACGGGUGAGUAACACGUAGGUAACCUGCCCAGAAGCGGGGGACAACAUUUGGAAACAGAUGCUAAUACCGCAUAACAGCGUUGUUCGCAUGAACAACGCUUAAAAGAUGGCUUCUCGCUAUCACUUCUGGAUGGACCUGCGGUGCAUUAGCUUGUUGGUGGGGUAAUGGCCUACCAAGGCGAUGAUGCAUAGCCGAGUUGAGAGACUGAUCGGCCACAAUGGGACUGAGACACGGCCCAUACUCCUACGGGAGGCAGCAGUAGGGAAUCUUCCACAAUGGGCGCAAGCCUGAUGGAGCAACACCGCGUGAGUGAAGAAGGGUUUCGGCUCGUAAAGCUCUGUUGUUAAAGAAGAACACGUAUGAGAGUAACUGUUCAUACGUUGACGGUAUUUAACCAGAAAGUCACGGCUAACUACGUGCCAGCAGCCGCGGUAAUACGUAGGUGGCAAGCGUUAUCCGGAUUUAUUGGGCGUAAAGAGAGUGCAGGCGGUUUUCUAAGUCUGAUGUGAAAGCCUUCGGCUUAACCGGAGAAGUGCAUCGGAAACUGGAUAACUUGAGUGCAGAAGAGGGUAGUGGAACUCCAUGUGUAGCGGUGGAAUGCGUAGAUAUAUGGAAGAACACCAGUGGCGAAGGCGGCUACCUGGUCUGCAACUGACGCUGAGACUCGAAAGCAUGGGUAGCGAACAGGAUUAGAUACCCUGGUAGUCCAUGCCGUAAACGAUGAGUGCUAGGUGUUGGAGGGUUUCCGCCCUUCAGUGCCGGAGCUAACGCAUUAAGCACUCCGCCUGGGGAGUACGACCGCAAGGUUGAAACUCAAAGGAAUUGACGGGGGCCCGCACAAGCGGUGGAGCAUGUGGUUUAAUUCGAAGCUACGCGAAGAACCUUACCAGGUCUUGACAUCUUGCGCCAACCCUAGAGAUAGGGCGUUUCCUUCGGGAACGCAAUGACAGGUGGUGCAUGGUCGUCGUCAGCUCGUGUCGUGAGAUGUUGGGUUAAGUCCCGCAACGAGCGCAACCCUUGUUACUAGUUGCCAGCAUUAAGUUGGGCACUCUAGUGAGACUGCCGGUGACAAACCGGAGGAAGGUGGGGACGACGUCAGAUCAUCAUGCCCCUUAUGACCUGGGCUACACACGUGCUACAAUGGACGGUACAACGAGUCGCGAACUCGCGAGGGCAAGCAAAUCUCUUAAAACCGUUCUCAGUUCGGACUGCAGGCUGCAACUCGCCUGCACGAAGUCGGAAUCGCUAGUAAUCGCGGAUCAGCAUGCCGCGGUGAAUACGUUCCCGGGCCUUGUACACACCGCCCGUCACACCAUGAGAGUUUGUAACACCCAAAGUCGGUGGGGUAACCUUUUAGGAGCCAGCCGCGUAAGGGACAGA
rnacentral:rRNA from 1 species